UGUUUUAUAUUUAUUUUUUGUUAUUAUUAACGUCACAUUGUUGUUGUAUUAAGUUUCUUUGUUAAAUAUUUAAUUCACCAAAAGAAGUUUUAUUAGAAGAAAACGAAAAAAAAGAGGAAAAUUAAGAAAAAAACUGAAACACCGCCUAAUUUUAAUGUAAUAUUUCAAAACGAAAAAACGAAGAAGAAAAACAAUUUCAAAUUAGAAUUGGAUUGAAUUUUUAGAAAGCCUACCACAUUUAUUUGGAUUUUUUAAUAUUAAGAAUAAUGGAUAAUUUGAAAGUAAAAUGUUGUUCAGCCAUCCCGCCACGUAAACCAUGAAAUAUAAAGGAUUUGCAUUGGAUUUUUUUCUGAAGAUUUUUAACAUAAUUAAACAUAGUAAGGUCUUGUCCCAGAAGACCACAACAUCAUAUUCCAGAAGAUUCAUGAAAUAACUUAUGGUCUUCUCUCGGAAAGUUAUUAAAUAUUCCCAUAAAAUAUCCUAAUGUAGUCUCAGAGAAGAUUUAAGGAUUUUCUCCCUCAAGACAUAAAAUACUACUCUUCAAAAUGAAAAGUAAUAAAGAAUCUCUCCUACAGGACACAGAGCCCUGCUCUUUAAAAUGACCCUAAAGGCUUCCUCACUAAGAACUAGAAGUAUUACUAAUACAUGCUCAUGGUCCUCUUAUUGAAGACCAAAAAUCUUCUGAAAACCGCAAAAUAUUUUUCCAGAAGACUCCUAAUACCCAUUCAACUUCGAGGACUUCUAAUAUAAACUUGAUGGUCCACCCAUGGUCCUCUUGUUGGAGACCAAAAAUCUUCUG
rnacentral:sRNA from 1 species